GGCGCAAGGUUGGUCUGCAGGUGGCCUCCAGGUGCAAAGUGGGAAGUGUGAGUCCUCAGUCUUGGGCUAUUCGGCCACGUGCCUGCCGGACAUGGGACGCUGGAGGGUCAGCAGCGUGGAGUCCUGGCCUUUUGCGUCCACGGGUGGGAAAUUGGCCAUUGCCACGGCGGGAACUGGGACUCAGGCUGCCCCCCGGCCGUUUCUCAUCCGUCCACCGGACUCGUGGGCGCUCGCACUGGCGCUGAUGUAGUUUCCUGACCUCUGACCCGUAUUGUCUCCAGAUUAAAGGUACGACAUUUGGAGGCCCCAGCGAGAAACGUCACCGGGAGAAACGUCACCGGGCGAGAGCCGGGCCCGCUGUGUGCUCCCCCGGAAGGACAGCCAGCUUGUAGGGGGGAGUGCCACCUGAAAAAAAAAUUUCCAGGUCCCCAAAGGGUGACCGUCUUCCGGAGGACAGCGGAUCGACUACCAUGUGGGUGCCCACAAAAAUUCCACCUCUGAGUCCUCAACUGCUGACCCCGGGGUCAGUAGACACGGGGUUUCACCAUGUUGGCCAGGCCGGUCUUGAACUUGUGACGUCAGGUGAUGCACCCGCCUUGGCCUCCCAAAGUGCUGGGAUUACAGGUCCAGAUUUUGAACAAAUCUCGCUAGAGAUUGAACAGAGCUGCGCCUGGAUCCCGCCACAGUGAGGAGACCUGAAGACCAGAGAAAACACAGCAAGCCCCUGGAUCCUCCUGGAAUCCCCGAUCCCUCUUGCUCCCUGGCAGAGUUUUCUAGUCCCUCUUACUUGAAGCAUGUCUUUCAGAGCCCGGCACCACCCAUCUUGAGUAUCUGGUGAGUUCUGUGGUCUGCAUGUCCAUGUUUGGGACAUUCUGGGAAGGGUGGCCCAGGCUGUGAUUUGCCAUCUACUGCAGGCUAUGGAUGGUAUUCAGAAGGGAGGGGAGAUGCUGUGUGCGUGUUCUGAAGGGUUUCCCACUAAACAGAUCAACCCUCUCCAUAACUAUUUGAUUUUUACUUUAUCUCCUCGUUGACUUCACAGUGUCAGUGCAGUUUGUGUAAACAUCUCUAUGGGGUGAUGCAUGCAGAUAAAUGUUUAUGUGAACAUAUAAAGUCUGCAUGUGUGGGUGAACACUCCACAUCAGGUCAUUGUCCAUCAUUACAUAUCUGUGGUGUCUGGCUCAUUCGUCUCGUUUUCUGUCAUUUUACCUACUUUUACCUGAAGUACAAUGACUAUUUAAUAACUAUUAAAUGUUUCAUUUCAGCUACACCUCUAUGGUAUUUUUUUCACCUCAUAUCAUACCUUCCUCCCUCACUGGACUUCAGUGUGGGACCUGCAGGUCUCAGGCCUUCUGGGAAGUCCCAGCUUUUCUUGAAUGUUUUCUCUCUCUGGCCAGCUCAGGCUGGAGCAGUGGGUGUUGGUGCCAUCCUGUGGCUAUAGGUGAUAAGCCGGCUGUUCUUCACUGACCUGGUCUUACCUUGAACCCUGGAGUUCUCACAUGCAUGGAUUUAAAUGCUGUGUCUUUCUAAGGGCACAUUAUGGCCAUUUUCCUUAUCUCCCUCCCAAGGGGCUG
rnacentral:lncRNA from 1 species